rnacentral:rRNA from 1 species
GAGUUUGAUCGUGGCUCAGAGUGAACGCUAGCGGUGCGCCUAAUACAUGCAAGUCGAGCGAGGCUUCGAGCCGAGCGGCGAACGGCUGCGUAACACGUUGGUACCUGCCCCAAACUCAGGGAUAACACGAUCGAAAGGUGUGCUAAUACCGGAUAGUCCCGAAAGGGUAAAGAUUUAUCGGUUUGGGAGGGGCCUGCGGCCUAUCAGCUAGUUGGUAAGGUAAUGGCUUACCAAGGCUAUGACGGGUAGCUGGUUUGAGAGAACGACCAGCCAGAAUGGGACUGAGACACGGCCCAUAUUCCUACGGGAGCAGCAGUAAGGAUCUUCCGCAAUGGGGGCAACCCUGACGGAGCGACACCGCGUGAAGGAUGAAGCCAUUUUUUGGUGUAAACUUCUGUUCUGAGGGACG